rnacentral:rRNA from 1 species
UACGUAGGGUGCGAGCGUUAAUCGGAAUUACUGGGCGUAAAGCGUGCGCAGGCGGUUGUGCAAGACCGAUGUGAAAUCCCCGGGCUUAACCUGGGAAUGGCAUUGGUGACUGCACGGCUAGAGUGUGUCAGAGAGGGGUAGAAUUCCACGUGUAGCAGUGAAAUGCGUAGAGAUGUGGAGGAAUACCGAUGGCGAAGGCAGCCCCCUGGGAUAACACUGACGCUCAUGCACGAAAGCGUGGGGAGCAAACAGG